AUCGUUGUAGUAUAGUGGUAUGUAUUCCCGCCUGCCACGCGGGUGACUCGGGUUCGUUCCUUGGUAACGACG
rnacentral:tRNA from 1 species